GACGAACGCUGGCGGCGUGCUUAACACAUGCAAGUCGAACGGAAAGGCCCUGCUUUUGUGGGGUGCUCGAGUGGCGAACGGGUGAGUAACACGUGAGUAACCUGCCCUUGACUUUGGGAUAACUUCAGGAAACUGGGGCUAAUACCGGAUAGGAGCUCCUGCUGCAUGGUGGGGGUUGGAAAGUUUCGGCGGUUGGGGAUGGACUCGCGGCUUAUCAGCUUGUUGGUGGGGUAGUGGCUUACCAAGGCUUUGACGGGUAGCCGGCCUGAGAGGGUGACCGGCCACAUUGGGACUGAGAUACGGCCCAGACUCCUACGGGAGGCAGCAGUGGGGAAUAUUGCACAAUGGGCGGAAGCCUGAUGCAGCAACGCCGCGUGCGGGAUGACGGCCUUCGGGUUGUAAACCGCUUUCGCCUGUGACGAAUCGUGAGUGACGGUAAUGGGUAAAGAAGCACCGGCUAACUACGUGCCAGCAGCCGCGGUGAUACGUAGGGUGCGAGCGUUGUCCGGAUUUAUUGGGCGUAAAGGGCUCGUAGGUGGUUGAUCGCGUCGGAAGUGUAAUCUUGGGGCUUAACCCUGAGCGUGCUUUCGAUACGGGUUGACUUGGGGAAGGUAGGGGAGAAUGGAAUUCCUGGUGGAGCGGUGGAAUGCGCAGAUAUCAGGAGGAACACCAGUGGCGAAGGCGGUUCUCUGGGCCUUUCCUGACGCUGAGGAGCGAAAGCGUGGGGAGCGAACAGGCUUAGAUACCCUGGUAGUCCACGCUGUAAACGGUGGGUACUAGGUGUGGGGUCCAUUCCACGGGUUCCGUGCCGUAGCUAACGCUUUAAGUACCCCGCCUGGGGAGUACGGCCGCAAGGCUAAAACUCAAAGGAAUUGACGGGGCCCCGCACAAGCGGCGGAGCAUGCGGAUUAAUUCGAUGCAACGCGUAGAACCUUACCUGGGUUUGACAUGGAUCGGGAGUGCUCAGAGAUGGGUGUGCCUCUUUUGGGGUCGGUUCACAGGUGGUGCAUGGCUGUCGUCAGCUCGUGUCGUGAGAUGUUGGGUUAAGUCCCGCAACGAGCGCAACCCUUGUUCACUGUUGCCAGCACGUUAUGGUGGGGACUCAGUGGAGACCGCCGGGGUCAACUCGGAGGAAGGUGGGGAUGACGUCAAGUCAUCAUGCCCCUUAUGUCCAGGGCUUCACGCAUGCUACAAUGGCUGGUACAGAGAGUGGCGAGCCUGUGAGGGUGAGCGAAUCUCGGAAAGCCGGUCUCAGUUCGGAUUGGGGUCUGCAACUCGACCUCAUGAAGUCGGAGUCGCUAGUAAUCGCAGAUCAGCAACGCUGCGGUGAAUACGUUCCCGGG
rnacentral:rRNA from 1 species